UACGAGGGGGGGCGAGCGUUUGUUCGGAAUUACUGGGCGUAAAGAGCUCGUAGGUGGUUUGUCGCGUUGUCCGUGAAAACUCACAACUCAAUUGUGGGCGUGCGGGCGAUACGGGCAGACUAGAGUGCGGUAGGGGAGACUGGAAUUCCUGGUGUAGCGGUGAAAUGCGCAGAUAUCAGGAGGAACACCGGUGGCGAAGGCGGUUCUCUGGGCAUGUCCUGACGCUGAGGAGCGAAAGUGUGGGGAGCGAACAGG
rnacentral:rRNA from 1 species